GGAGGAUGCAAGUGUUAUCCGGAAUCACUGGGCGUAAAGCGUCUGUAGGUGGUCAAAUAAGUCAACUGUUAAAUCUUGAGGCUCAACCUCAAAAUCGCAGUCGAAACUAUUAGACUAGAGUAUAGUAGGGGUAAAGGGAAUUUCCAGUGGAGCGGUGAAAUGCGUAGAGAUUGGAAAGAACACCGAUGGCGAAGGCACUUUACUGGGCUAUUACUAACACUCAGAGACGAAAGCUAGGGUAGCAAAUGGGAUUAGAUACCCCAGUAGUCCUAGCUGUAAACAAUGGAUACUAGAUGUUGAACAUUUGACCUGUGCAGUAUCAAAGCUAACGCGUUAAGUAUCCCGCCUGGGAAGUAUGCUCGCAAGAGUGAA
rnacentral:rRNA from 1 species